rnacentral:rRNA from 1 species
AGAGCGAACGCUGGCGGCAGGCCUAACACAUGCAAGUCGAGCGCCCGUAGCAAUACGGGAGCGGCAGACGGGAUAGUAACACGUGGGAACGCGCCCUUCGGUUCGGAAUAACUCAGGGAAACUUGAGCUAAUACCGGAUACGUCCUUACGGGGAAAGAUUUAUUGCCGAAGGAACGGCCCGCGUCCGAUUAGCUAGUUGGUGAGGUAAUGGCUCACCAAGGCGACGAUCGGUAGCUGGUCUGAGAGGAUGACCAGCAUCACUGGGACUGAGACACGGCCCAGACUCCUACGGGAGGCAGCAGUGGGGAAUAUUGGACAAUGGGCGCAAGCCUGAUCCAGCCAUGCCGCGUGGAUGAUGAAGGCCUUAGGGUUGUAAAGUCCUUUUAACGGGGAAGAUAAUGACGGUACCCGUAGAAUAAGCCCCGGCUAACUUCGUGCCAGCAGCCGC